rnacentral:lncRNA from 1 species
CAGCACUCAGAUGUCCACAGGCUCAGCUAACUUCUAGACUGGAGCCUCAGGACAUGCCCUGAGUCAGGACUACCCAGCUAAGCUGCUCCCAAAUUCUGGACUGCACUGGAAAUGACAGCAAACAUUUUGAACACACAGUGAAUGCAAAGGUGAAUCAGGGAUCAGUUUUUGGCCUUCAUUCUGAAUGGGGAGUACUUAGAAGUCUUUGCUCAAUGUCAUCAGCCUGAGGUUAUGAGCCUUAGAAAAGGUGUGUAGAGGGCCAUGGAUCUUACAGCCAGUAGAUUUGGGUUUGAAUCUCAACCCUCAUGCUUGCUCUUCCCUUGCAGCUCAUUCCCCCAAGAAUCUGUUUCUUUAUCUGCAUAGAAAAACAACACCCACUCUGCUGUGCUGCUGUGAGACGUGAAAAAACAGUUCAAUGUACAAGUGCCCAUCAGUCAAUAGAUGUUAGUGACGUAAAUAUAUUUCCUUUCUUGCCAUUCAUUCUAAUUUUUUUUUUUUUGGUACCAGAGAUCGAACUCAGGUCCUUUCGCUUGCGCAGCAGGCGGUGAAACCACUGAGCUAAAUCGCUGGCCCUUCAUUCUGAUUUUAAUCCUUGUUUUGGAUGCUUACUCUUUGACGUCACUCUUAUUUAGCUUUUAUGUUUGCUGUUUGUUUGUUUGUUUGUUUUGAGACAGGGUCUUGCUAUGUAGUUCAGGCUGGAUUUAAUUCUUUAUAUAACCCAUGUGAUCCUUAAACUCAUGGUGAUCCUCCUGCCUCAGCCUCCUGUAUACUGGGAUUACACAUGUGUGCUAUUUACUCUUAUUUAGGUAUGGGCCUGCCCUGCUUUUAGACUUACUUUGCCUUGCUGGCUACAGCUGACUCUUGGCUUGGACUUGCUCUUCUUGAAAUUCUUUGCCCCAGAUUCCAGUUUCUGUUCCUACUGCUUUUCCUAAAUUUCUAAUUAAAUUCAGUCCAUAAGAAAUUUGAAGGUUGA